UACGAAGGGGGCUAGCGUUGCUCGGAAUUACUGGGCGUAAAGGGCGCGUAGGCGGACAGUUAAGUCAGAGGUGAAAGCCCAGGGCUCAACCCUGGAAUUGCCUUUGAUACUGGCUGUCUUGAGUAUGGGAGAGGUGAGUGGAACUCCGAGUGUAGAGGUGAAAUUCGUAGAUAUUCGGAAGAACACCGGUGGCGAAGGCGGCCAACUGGACCAUUACUGACGCUGAGGCGCGAAAGCGUGGGGAGCAAACAGG
rnacentral:rRNA from 1 species